rnacentral:rRNA from 1 species
UACAGAGGGGGCAAGCGUUGUUCGGAAUUACUGGGCGUAAAGGCCAGUAGGCGGCCUAACUAAGUCCGACGGUGAAAUACCCCAGGCCUUAACCGUGGGAACCUGGACGUCCGGUAUACUGGAUGGCUUGAAUUCGGGAGAGGGAUGGCAGAAGGUUCCAGGGUGAUUCGAGCGGUGGAAAUGACGUAGAUAUACGGAAGGAACGGCCCGGGUG